rnacentral:rRNA from 1 species
GGCGUAAAGAGCUUGUAGGCGGCUUGUCGCGUCUGCUGUGAAAGCCCGGGGCUUAACCCCGGGUCUGCAGUGGGUACGGGCAGGCUAGAGUGUGGUAGGGGAGACUGGAAUUCCUGGUGUAGCGGUGGAAUGCGCAGAUAUCAGGAGGAACACCGAUGGCGAAGGCAGGUCUCUGGGCCAUUACCGACGCUGAGAAGCGAAAGCGUGGGGAGCGAACAGGAUUAGAUACCCUGGUAGUCCACGCCGUAAACGUUGGGCGCUAGGUGUGGGUCCCAUUCCACGGGGUCCGUGCCGCAGCUAACGCAUUAAGCGCCCCGCCUGGGGAGUACGGCCGCAGGGCUAAAACUCAAAGGAAUUGACGGGGGCCCGCACAAGCGGCGGAGCAUGCGGAUUAAUUCGAUGCAACGCGAAGAACCUUACCAAGGCUUGACAUGUACCGGAAACCCUCGGAGACGGGGGCCCCGCAAGGCUGGUACACAGGUGGUGCAUGGUUGUCGUCAGCUCGUGUCGUGAGAUGUUGGGUUAAGUCCCGCAACGAGCGCAACCCUCGUUCUAUGUUGCCAGCGGUUCGGCCGGGGACUCAUAGGAGACUGCCGGGGUCAACUCGGAGGAAGGU